rnacentral:rRNA from 1 species
GCCAUAUGAAUACUAAGGCGCCCGUACCGGAAACCGACACAGGUGGGUGGGCAUAAAUGUGCCAAGGCGCGUGAGUGAAACCUCGUUAAGGAACUCUGCAAUCUAGCCCCGUAACUUCGGAAGAAGGGGUGCCCACUUUUAGUGGGUCGCAGUGAAAUGGGUGUACCGACUGUUUAUCAAAAACACAGCACUCUGCUAAGUCGUAAGACAACGUAUAGGGUGUGACACGUGACCAAUGCGGAAAGAUUACGGUAAGUGGUUAGGCGCAAGCCGAAGCUACGAGCCCAAGUCCCCGUGGAUGUCGGCCGUAACGAUAACGGUCCUAAGGUAGCGAAAUUCCUUGUCGGGUAAGUUCCGACCUGCACGAAUCGUGUAACGAGUGCACCGCUGUCUCAACGAGGAGCUCAGCGAAGUUGUAAUGGCGGUGAAGAUGCCGCCUACCCGCAGCAGGACGGAAAGACCCUAUGCACCUUUACUGUACGCUGUUACUGUGUUUUCGAUUUUCAUGCUUAGCGUAAGUGGGAGACUUUGAAUCGCUUCUUUCGGGGAGCGACGAGUCGUCAAUGAAACACCACCCUUGGAAAUUGGAAACUCUAACCCUCACCCAUGAUCUGGGGAGGGGACACUGGCAGCCGGUCAGUUUUACUGGGGCGGUAUCCUCCUAAAGAGUAACGGAGGAGUACGAAGGUUGGCUCAACCUGGUUGGUAAUCAGGUGACGAGUACAUGGAUAUAAGCCAGCCUAACUGUGAGACCUUCAAGUCGAGCAGAUGCGAAAGCAGGUCCAAGUGAUCCGGUGGUUGAUUGGAAUCGCCAUCGCUCAACGGACAAAAGGUACGCUAGGGAUAACAGGCUGAUCGAGUCCAAGAGCUCAUAUCGACGACUCGGUUUGGCACCUCGAUGUCGGCUCAUCACAUCCUGGGGCUGGAGAAGGUCCCAAGGGUCCGGCUGUUCGCCGGUUAAAGUGGUACGCGAGCUGGGUUCAGAACGUCGCGAGACAGUUCGGUCCUUAUCCGCUGUGGGCGCAGGAAAGUUGAGGGGUUUAAACCUUAGUACGAGAGGACCGGGUUUAACGAACCUCUGGUGUUCCAGUUGUCGUGUCAACGGCAGUGCUGGGCAGCUACGUUCGGAAGAGAUAAGCGCUGAAAGCAUCUAAGCGCCAAGCUCCUCCCAAGAUUGACUUUCCCUGAAGAGUCGUGGUAGACCACCACGUUGAUAGGCCAUAGGUAUAAGCGCAGUAAUGUGUUGAGCUUAGUGGUACUAAUAACUCGUUCGGCUUGAUCU